CAUUGAGCCUUGAUGUGUAGGAUAGGUGGGAGGCUUUGAAGUGUGGACGCCAGUCUGCAUGGAGCCGACCUUGAAAUACCACCCUUUAAUGUUUGAUGUUCUAACGUUGACCCGUGAUCCGGGUUGCGGACAGUGUCUGGUGGGUAGUUUGACUGGGGCGGUCUCCUCCUAAAGAGUAACGGAGGAGCACGAAGGUUGGCUAAUCCUGGUCGGACAUCAGGAGGUUAGUGC
rnacentral:rRNA from 1 species